rnacentral:rRNA from 1 species
GACGAACCGUGCGAACGUUAUUCGGAAUCACUGGGCUUAAAGCGCGUGUAGGCGGGUGGGAACGUCGGCCACUGAAAGCCCCCCGGCUCAACCGGGGAAGGGGUGCUGAUACGGCCCGCCUGGAGGGGCGUAGGGGGACCUGGAACUUCCGGUGGAGCGGUGAAAUGCGCAGAUAUCAGGAAGAACACCUAUGGCGAAGGCAGCUCUCUGGGACGGUAC